rnacentral:rRNA from 1 species
GAUGAACGCUGGCGGCGUGCCUAAUACAUGCAAGUCGAGCGAACAGACGAGGAGCUUGCUCCUCUGACGUUAGCGGCGGACGGGUGAGUAACACGUGGAUAACCUACCUAUAAGACUGGGAUAACUUCGGGAAACCGGAGCUAAUACCGGAUAAUAUAUUGAACCGCAUGGUUCAAUAGUGAAAGACGGUUUUGCUGUCACUUAUAGAUGGAUCCGCGCCGCAUUAGCUAGUUGGUAAGGUAACGGCUUACCAAGGCAACGAUGCGUAGCCGACCUGAGAGGGUGAUCGGCCACAGUGGAACUGAGACACGGUCCAGACUCCGACGGGAGGCAGCAGUAGGGAAUCUUCCGCAAAGGGCGAAAGCCUGACGGAGCAACGCCGCGUGAGUGAUGAAGGUCUUCGGAUCGUAAAACUCUGUUAUUAGGGAAGAACAAAUGUGUAAGUAACUAGGCACGUCUUGACGGUACCUAAUCAGAAAGCCACGGCUAACUACGUG